UACGGGGGGUGCGAGCGUUGUUCGGAUUUAUUGGGCGUAAAGCGCGUGCAGGCGGUUUGUUAAGUCUGAUGUGAAAGCCCCGGGCCCAACCCGGGAAGUGCAUUGGAUACUGGCAGACUUGAAUACGGGAGAGGAGAGUGGAAUUCCUGGAGUAGGGGUGAAAUCCGUAGAUAUCAGGAAGAACACCGGUGGCGAAGGCGGCUCUCUGGAACGAUAUUGACGCUGAGACGCGAAAGCGUGGGUAGCAAAC
rnacentral:rRNA from 1 species